CCCCCCUCCCCACCCAUCUUUAGGGAGGGGCCCUAGGCGCUGACCCGGGGAAGGCGGUGGAGCGGCCGGUUCUGGUGGGGAUGGUACCUGGGAGCUGGUCUGAGCUGAAACCCCGGGCGCUGGGAAGGCGGUGAUGACUGCGGAUUUAAGGACUGUGAAAUCGUCAUUCCUUGGUCUACCACCCUUUUCUCACUUGUAUAGGAGUUUUUUUGGAAAAACUGGCCACUCCAGGACAAAAGGGAAAAACUGGCAGAUUGGAAGGAAGCAGCCUAGGGACUCCGAACCUUUUGAAUCAGCAUUUGCAACUGGCUUCUCUUUCCUGUGACUAACAGACCAUCUUUCAUCUGCGUACAGGAUACACACCGAGGUCUCUUUAUCCAGCAACUGCGAACUAUGCAGAACCUCCAGCCGAGAAUCAAACUAAAGCUGUUUGGCCACUCAGGGUCUGGGAAGACCACACUGGUAGAGUCUCUGAAGUGUGGGCUGCUAAGGAGCUUCUUCAGAAGAUGCCGGCCCAGACUCUCUGCCACCAACUCCACCAGAUUCCCACCUUCACACCUGGUUUCCAAGCCAGCAGACUGUCCAAUGAUAACAAGGAAAAGGCUUCACUGAAACCACAGAAUCACAGAGGCCCUCCACGGCAACUGCAAAGAGCAGAAUUGUUGUGUUCUUCUUGGGAACUCUGCCUUUAAGGACACAGAGACCUGGGACGAAAAAGGGUACUCCAUUGUUACCACCUCCUAGGAAGGACAGAGAUAUCAGGAAGCCACAAAUGCAGUGGAAGGCGAGGAAGAGGAGCAGAAAGAAACAUGGAGCUUGGAAAGUCACCUGGAGAAACACCUUGAUAAGGGCAAAUUUCAUCAAGACCCCAAAGCAGCACCUGCCAGGGUCCACAGCUCAUGAGUGAAAGGUCCUGCUUCUGCCAUGACCACCAUCUGGUCAGUAAAACCUCAAUAUGAUGAAUGUAAUUCAAAGAGAAUCCCACUGGACACCAUCCCAAAGAGCUCACCUCCAGGUGACACAGGGAAAGCCUGUGUGGCCUCUCCAGUGACAGCCAUGGCAGGAUUGGGCCUUUUGGCUGUCUUCCUGGUGGUGGGCAACUACCAAGGUCUCAUUCUUCCCGGCCUCCUCAGUGUGCAAGCCCCAGCCACAGCACCUGCCCCAACAGCCAUCAGGGACUUCUUUCUGGGGAGGCCCCACAAACAGGCAGGUAGAGACUGGCAGUCCCUCAUUUGUCAUCCUUGAUGUUCAGAAGCUGCUGGAGGCUUUAAUCAGCAAAAGAAAAUAACUGAAUAUUUGGGAAGAAAAAGAAACCAUGGGUCAUUUCCAAAACAAACAAGUUCAGUCUACUACCUGAAUUUUUAGGAGGGCAUUACAUUCUCCCCACUAAUCUAGAACAAGGAAGACAAAGUGGAGCAACUGUCCAAUCAUCAGCGAGUUCUGUUAUCUCCAGACCAUGGGGGACUAUUAACACCAGAAAUGCAGUCAGCGUUGCUGGGGACUUCCCUUGCUGCACAGUUAGUCCCUUGUGGUUACUGCUUUGGUCAUGGGCAUCACAUCUCAAACACAGGCUUCCUUUGUUUUACUCAUUGGAAACCCUAAAUGUUUUCCACUUCCCAGUCAGCUCAUCAUGCCUUCAAAUCGUUCCCAGGCCACUUUCAGGCCUCACCCUAGGUCCAGUUACAAUCUUUGGCUGGAAACUUGCUCCAGUCCCAGACCCCACUAAUGGCUCUGGUUCAGACCCAGGCCUGUAACACACCCAAUUUCCAAAUCCAACCACCUUUUUCUCCACUCCAGAUUAGGUAUUAUGGGGUGUCUACUCCUAUGGACAAGGCACAAGUCUUUGUCUCAAUUAAAAUUCAAUCUCUCGAAUGAUCCAUGUGGCACAGGCCAUGAGAAAGGAUGUCUUUAUCUCCUGUGGUCCAAAUCUCUGACCAAGUGGUUAACAAGUCCCUGCCAGGCUUUUCCAGGAUAGCUUCACCUUCCAGGCCCACCAUUCAGUGUGUGCCCAUCAGAGGGAUUUUGUUAGUGAGAAUCUCCAGGCACCACAUCUGCAGGAUUGGCUGCCUAGAGGUGACCAUCAGGACAGCUUGCCCUGCAAAAUCCAGGCUGUGGAAGCAAUGCAGCCUUGGGGAGAACUCCCAGGGUUGAGUCAUGCACUGGGGAGGCAGCAGCCCUCAUUGUCAUCCAGGUUGUCACACUAAAAUAGUUGGGAUGUGCAGGAGACAAGCUGCGGGUUCCCUAGGACGUCCUACAUGAAGAAUUGACUCAGUAUCCUACCAAGAAAGAAUUUAGACAAGGGUCUAUGUCAGUCUGUGAGGAGGAUCCCCAAAGACCAAAGCAAAGGCUUGGUUAUUUCCCAGUGAGCUCUGAGGAGCUGCAAAGACACCCAGUGAUAUCCGUAAUGAGUGACUCAGGAAGUUGCUUGUCCAGGGGCCCAGAGGGGAAACAAUUAGAAAAAUUCUUGAACACCCAGCUGGGCAAGAAGUUAGGGCAGAUCAGCGAGGGUUUGUUCCGUCACUGUGCGUCGAUCCUUGCUUGCCACCAGCCUUGCUUCAUCCAUACCCAACACUCAGAGGGAACCCAUACAGCUAGCACCCUUGAAGGGUUGGGCAAGUUGCAUGAACCCCUCCCACGAGCUUCCUUUCCUCAGUCCACGUGCUGGACAGGAGCUGGGAACACAAAUGAUCAGGUUUCAGAUAAGGCGGAAUUGGGGCUUUUACCCCCAGGCCUCCAAACACAUAAAUAUCAAGGAUUGUGAGGUUCAAUCACUGUCUCUUCCAAGGCCUGUAUCAUGCUGUUUAGUCACCUUUGAAUCUGGGACCAAGAGGCUGCAGGAGGGACCCCAUGAGUCCAUGGCCAGGGGCCCUCAAAGGUUCUUUUUGGAGAGGACAGGCUACCUUCUCAGACGUCCGUCUCCAGCCCCGUGAGGAGACCUUGCAGAGUGAGACUGUGCUAAUGGUUGAGAUGGGCAACCUAGAGCCACUCCAAGUACAGAAAUGACCACAAAUAAAGUGAAUGAGGAGACUGGGGGUCCAAUCACACCAGACCUGUCCCAGAAGAUAGCAAUGCUGAAGAGGAACUUAGAGGCCAAAUAUUUGAUGAUCAAAAAAGACUUGAAGUUGAUGGAAACCAAGGAAGUCCCCGCUUGGAAAGUCAUCUUGGGCCCCAGUGAGCCACACAGUGCCCCAACUGGUGAGGUGAAUCUGAAGAGCUCACAGUCUUCUGGGUCCAAUGAUAGCUUCUUAACACCUACAGCAUCUACUGCCCCAAAUCCAAAAGAGCCAACCUUAAAACAAAAGUUGCCAGUCAGUUUGAGAUCCCAGGGAAAGUGGAAACAUAGAAACAGCCUCAAGGCCAUGCCACCAAAGUGCUCCCUAAAGGCUCCUACACUGAGGGGCUCUUACAGGAUUACAGCACAGGUAUGCUCCUCCAAGGUUAUACCACUGCCAUUCUCCUCCCAGACUCUCACAUAAAUGUGCUUCUUGCUGUGAACACCUUGGCCUCUGACAGUUCACUGUGCAAUACACAGGGAGAAAAUCCUAGUGGGGACACACAAGGUCCAAGAAAAUCCUCAGUACAUGCAGCAGAAAUCUGCUUUGUCAUAACAGCACAUCCUCUGCAUGCUAGGGACCUCACUUAUCAUGACAUUUAUUUCAUCAAAUACAUGUAUGUUCUCAUACAAAAUGAUCUGCACCUUUUUAGGGGAAAGGGCAGGGUUCAGAGUCUACUCUUCUGAGGGCCUGCUUUGACUUCAAUAGGGUGGCACAUAGGGUGGAGGCUGACCACCAUGGGGAAAACCUGUCCUUACCCUGGGCCCUCAAUGCACCCUAGGAUUUUACAUUACCCUUGUGAAAGAACAGAGGAAAACAGGUAGAAGUUGCCAAGAUGAGCAAGUUUCUUAAACCUUGGCCAGAAGGUGAACUGGGCAUCAUUACCUGAUUUCUCUCUGCUUGAACUGGUGCUGUUUUGGGGAGGGUUGUGAUGAGGUGGAAAUUCCUCUCAGGCUUCAAAAAGUGUGGGAGAUGGCUGCAGAGUGUUGGGUUGGAGGGUGCUGGCCUUGAGCCUGGAAAUGGUAGAACUCUGACCCCAUGUCUUUGGGAGAAUACAUGACCCCUGCCCAUGGCCCCUCUCUCUUUGAUGUCAAGGACUGAGGAUUAAAUGCUGGGGUGUGAUGGGUAAUCGGGAGAGGUGCUGUGAACCAUGUCCACCUGCCCAGUGGAGGGAUGGCCCUCCUGGGGUUGGAGCAGGAGUAAACUAUGUGCAGUUCCCACGUGACUGUGGCACACAGUGAACAGAGUGGGUGGAGAGUGUAGGGAGCAAGGGGGCUAAGUGUUGCUCAGAUAUAGUCCAGUGACCCAGUCUGGGGAUCUCACUGCCUUCUACAAGCAGAGACAUUAGGAAGGAGACACUAGGGGCCCAGCAACUCAGCAUGGCCCCUCAUAGUCCCCACACAGGCUACCACUGGCAUCCAGAGGAGACUCUCCACCUGCAGCUCUUCAGAGACGGUCAAGUUCCCAGAGAAGCAAAGCCCUCCACCAGGGAAGUGUGAUGUCCCUCUUGAAGGACCUCUGAAAAAUCUGAUGGGACUGGGGAACUCAAUAGGGACUCUCAUAUCCUCUUCGUCUUUCCUUGCCACCAAGGACAGCUCCCAGGGGACAAGAUGAGACCUCAGAAAUUGAGACAACUGCAGGGAAAGUGACACAGACCUAAAUAGCACAUGACAGAUUCCCACAGACACCACUGACAGACCCAAAGUGAACCCUGAAUAGUUCUUUGAUGAGCUACACAGAGGCCUCUGACACACCCCCACCCCUGAGACCCAAUCAUAAGACACAGAGGCUUCUGACAGAGACCUACCACACAGAACUUGCAAACAGAAAUGGCAGAGACCUCAUGGGCCUUUUUUUAGGUGCUUGAGCAUCCUCCAUUGUCUGGUCCCUCACAGAGGGUAGACUAGGCCAGCUGGCAGCGCAGGGAGAGCAUCAGUGACCGUGCCCCGCUGAAGACCUCAAGACACUCAGACUUUGUCACUGUUGCUCCACAUGGAACACCCUGCUUGGGGCCAUGCUCAUCUAUUAUUGUCCUUUUACAAUACAUUGUGUCUGAACAAAAGGUUUAUUCAACACGUCUUGCAGUUUUCCAAUUUUUCGUGAACUUGAGCUCUGUCCCACAGAGAAUAACAAAUUUUCAACAUGAGUAAAAUGUGCAAAAAAUACCUUCUUUGUCCAGUUUUACUUAGCAUCCAGAUGGCAUCUAUGCCAUAUUUUUUAUUUCAUUGGGGACCAGAAUUAACCUCAAGACAGCUGACUUCUUUAAUUUGGAAUUCUGUUAACGUCUGUGUAGCAAAUAAACCCUGGGAAUAAAAUAAGCCAGCAAACAACAUCCGAGGACUUUCUCACUUCCCAGGUCUCUCUGCAACUAGCACAUUCUUCGGCAAGUAAUAGAUUAUAUCAGCUUUGUGGGUUUUGUUUUAUUUUUACAUGGAAUAGGCUAACAAUCAUGUAAAGAUUUUUACAAAUGAAUCAGCUAUCUAUAUAUGAUUCAUUUUAUACUCUGGCAAAAUUAUACUAAUCACUUUUUGUUUCUUAACAAAUGACAAUUCCCUGAAAGUUUUUCUGGAUAUAAACAGUAUAAUGUUCUGCAAACAUUUUUAAAAUGAUUGGCUCUUUGGAGAAUUCAUUUUUUUAAAUAAUUCUAAACAUGUCUCUUUUCUAAGACUUAGGCAGCCAGGUUCCCUUUUGGUUUUCAUUGACAGAUUCAUUGCUUCAAUUAGUUUGAAAUCUGAAGAAAAUGCGUCAUCUAACCUAUGCGUCAGAGAGACACAUGGGAAUACUAUUACCAGAAGAGACAUUUAGUUUGAGAAAUGAAAAGACUGAGAUAAACACCAGGGAAAGCCAUGCAAAUGAAAAGGUAGAUGGAAGAUGUGGGAGAAGAAACAUACUGUAAAACACAUGAAAAACAAAUAGAAUGGCACUAGAUUAUCAGUGAUACUCUUCAAUGUGAGCAGUCUGAACAGAACACAGAAUGAGGGCCUCCCUGGUGGUGUAAGGGGUUAAGACACAACCUAUGAAUCUAUCGGCAGCCACUGCAGCAUGAGUUCCUUUCCCGGCCAGGGAGCUACCCUCAUGUGCAGCAGACCUCUCCUGACUCCCCCACUGCUCACCUCAACAGUGUAUUUCAGUCAAUCUGCCUGUUCUGUUCCCCACUCUGUCUCUGGUGAAUACUCUCACCUGAACCUCUGCCCUGUGCCCCUGUUCUUGUGUACAUAAAUAAAUAAAUCUUUUUAAAACACACACACAGAGAAUGACAGGCUAUUUAAAAAAGUAUAAACCAGCGAUAUUUUGCAUUCAAGAAUCUCACAUAAGAUCUAAUUACAAACACAGACUUAAAGUAAAACAUCAGAGAUGGGUAUUUCAAGCUGAUGAGACAGAAAAAAAAUCUCAGGAACUCUUACUCUCAUAUCUCAUAAAUUAGAAAUUCCCCUCAAAAAGAUAACAAAAAUGGAUAUUAUGUAAUGAUCAAGAGAACAAUUCUUCACUAAGUUAAAUCUGUUCUCAGAAUUGGUGCACCAAACAGAGAUACACCCAAAUAUAUCAAGCAACAUUAAAAGACCUAAAGCAACACAUUGACUUGACAGUAACACAGUAACAGGGCAACUCUACACUCCACUUACAUCUAUGACUUCAUAAUCCAGACAGAAAAUAUACAGGGAAACACCGGCCUUCAUUAAGUAAUGGAUUAGAUGCACAUCACAGGCAUGUACAGUUUUUCAUUCCAAAAGAAAUGGAAUACUAUGCUUCUCAGGUACACACGGAACUUCCCAUGGAUACAUAGGUUAUCACACAAAACAAAUCUCAUUAAUAUAUGGAAUUUGAACUUACAUCAUUUAUUACAUCAUGUAUCCUUUUGAUCACAGUAGAAUAAAGAGACACAAUAGAAAGGAAUCACUUACAUAAAUAUGGAAAUAUCCCAAACAUGGAGAGAUUAAACAAAGUAUUUUUGAAUCAUGCUUGGGUAAAUAAUAAAUCAAAGAAAUAAAAAUUAUCUGAGGCCAGUGAAUAAAGAGAGACAAGUUACUGGAUCCCAUGAAUACAGUAAAAGCAGUAUUAAGCGGGAAGUACAUAAUAAUACAGGUCCACACCAAUAAGUUAAAAUAGUUAUGAAUAAACAACAUAACUUGACAAUUGAAGGAGCUAGAAUAACAGCAGAUGAAAGCAAAAAUCAGUAGAAAUGAGUAAAAAACAAAAAAUUGAGCAUAAUUAAAUAAUAUAGAAACCAAGAAAUUAUACAAAAUAUCCAUGAAACCAAGAGUUAUUUCUUUGAAAGUACAAGCAAAAUGGUUAAACCCUUAGCUACAAUAACAAGAGUGUGAACAAAAUAAACGAAUAAGAAAGGAAAGAGGAAAAACAAUAAUGCAAAGGAUCCUAAGAGGUAACUGUAAAAGUGCACAUGGAAGCAAGAUGGACUAAUGUUUAAAAUCAUACAACUUUUAAAACUCAACUGAAAUGAAAUAGUAGCUUGAAAAGAAUAUGUUCAAGCCAAGA